rfam:Rhodotorula graminis WP1 unplaced genomic scaffold RHOBAscaffold_9, whole genome shotgun sequence.
GGUGUUUUGUCCGAGUGGUCUAAGGAGCCAGCUUCAGGUUGACAUGAUCUCGCUGGUCCGAAAGGGCGUGGGUUCGAAUCCCACAGACAUCA